CAGUAGCCGCGGUAAUACGUAGGUGGCAAGCGUUGUCCGGAAUGAUUGGGCGUAAAGGGCGCGCAGGCGGCUGUGUAAGUCUGUCUAGAAAGUGCGGGGCUAAACCCCGUGAGAGGAUGGAAACUGGACAGCUGAGAGUGUCGGAGAGGAAAGCGGGAUUCCUAGUGUAGCGGUGAAAUGCGUAGAUAUUAGGAGGAACACCGGUGGCGAAAGCGGCUUUCUGGACGACAACUGACGCUGAGGCGCGAAAGCCAGGGGAGCAAACGGGAUUAGAGACCCCUGUAGUCCCUGUCUCUUAUAC
rnacentral:rRNA from 1 species